UGGGGAAUUUUGGACAAUUGGGCGAAAGCCUGAUCCAGCAAUGCCGCGUGUGUGAAGAAGGCCUUCGGGUUGUAAAGCACUUUUGUCCGGAAAGAAAUCCUUGGCUCUAAUACAGUCGGGGGAUGACGGUACCGGAAGAAUAAGCACCGGCUAACUACGUGCCAGCAGCCGCGGUAAUACGUAGGGUGCAAGCGUUAAUCGGAAUUACUGGGCGUAAAGCGUGCGCAGGCGGUUUGCUAAGACCGAUGUGAAAUCCCCGGGCUCAACCUGGGAACUGCAUUGGUGACUGGCAGGCUAGAGUAUGGCAGAGGGGGGUAGAAUUCCACGUGUAGCAGUGAAAUGCGUAGAGAUGUGGAGGAAUACCGAUGGCGAAGGCAGCCCCCUGGGCCAAUACUGACGCUCAUGCACGAAAGCGUGGGGAGCAAACAGGAUUAGAUACCCUGGUAGUCCACGCCCUAAACGAUGUCAACUAGUUGUUGGGGAUUCAUUUCCUUAGUAACGUAGCUAACGCGUGAAGUUGACCGCCUGGGGAGUACGGUCGCAAGAUUAAAACUCAAAUGAAUUGACGGGGUCAUAGCUGUUU
rnacentral:rRNA from 1 species